UUAGUCUUUUGUGAUACAUUUUCAAUGAGUCAGGUUGUUUGGGAAUGCAGCCUAAAUUGGGAGGUAAAUCUCUCCUAAAGCUAAAUAUUUGCGAGAAACCGAUAGCGAACAAGUACCGUGAGGGAAAGAUGAAAAGAACUUUGAAAAGAGAGUUAAACAGUAUGUGAAAUUGUUAAAAGGGAACCGUUUGGAGCCAGUCUGGCUUUCCUAUAAUCAAUCUAGGCUUCGGCCUUGAUGCACUUGUAGGUUAUCGCCGGCCAACGACAAUUGGGAUCGCGAGGGAAAAAACCUUUGGAAAUGUAGCCAUUCUGCAAAGUUUGGUGUUAUAGUCCUUGGGAAAAUACCUUGUGCUCGAUUGAGGAUCGCAGUGAAUGCCUUUCGGGGCAGGAUGUGGUGAGGUAGGUUUGCUUGACCUAAGGUGACUUUCGGGUUGCUUUAGCGAUGGCUUACUC
rnacentral:rRNA from 1 species